GACGAACGCUGGCGGCGUGGAUUAGGCAUGCAAGUCGAACGGUAUCAUCCUUUCGGGGGUGAGAGAGUGGCGAACUGGUGAGUAACACGUAGGUUAUCUACCCUCAAGACGGGGACAACCCAGGGAAACUUGGGCUAAUACCGGAUGUGAGCAACUUUUAGUUGUUUGAAAGGUGGCGUAAGCUGUCGCUUGGGGAUGAGCCUGCGUCCUAUUAGUUAGUUGGUGAGGUAACGGCUCACCUAGGCAAUGAUAGGUAGGCGGCCUUAACGGGUGGUCGCCCACACUGGGAUUGAGAUACGGCCCAGACUCCUACGGGAGGCAGCAGUCGAGAAUAGUCUACAAUGGUCGGAAGACUGAUAGUGCGACGCCGCGUGAACGAUGAAUCCCUUCGGGGUGUAAAGUUCUUUUAUAUGUGAGCAGUGCUUCUUAUAUUAACAGUAUGGGGAGAGAGAUAUUAGCAUAUGAAUAAGCAACGGCUAACUCCGUGCCAGCAGCCGCGGUAAGCU
rnacentral:rRNA from 1 species